rnacentral:rRNA from 1 species
UCCAAUCGAACCUGGAGAUAGCUGGUUCUCUCCGAAAUAGCUUUAGGGCUAGCCUCAAGUGAUGAUUAUUGGAGGUAGAGCACUGUUUGGACGAGGGGCCCCUAUCGGGUUACCGAAUUCAGACAAACUCCGAAUGCCAAUUAAUUUAACUUGGGAGUCAGAACAUGGGUGAUAAGGUCCGUGUUCGAAAGGGAAACAGCCCAGACCACCAGCUAAGGUCCCAAAAUAUAUGUUAAGUGGAAAAGGAUGUGGCGUUGCCCAGACAACUAGGAUGUUGGCUUAGAAGCAGCCAUCAUUUAAAGAGUGCGUAAUAGCUCACUAGUCGAGUGACACUGCGCCGAAAAUGUACCGGGGCUAAACAUAUUACCGAAGCUGUGGAUUGUCCUUUGGACAAUGGUAGGAGAGCGUUCUAAGGGCGUUGAAGCAUGAUCGUAAGGACAUGUGGAGCGCUUAGAAGUGAGAAUGCCGGUGUGAGUAGCGAAAGACGGGUGAGAAUCCCGUCCACCGAUUGACUAAGGUUUCCAGAGGAAGGCUCGUCCGCUCUGGGUUAGUCGGGUCCUAAGCUGAGGCCGACAGGCGUAGGCGAUGGAUAACAGGUUGAUAUUCCUGUACCACCUAUAAUCGUUUUAAUCGAUGGGGGGACGCAGUAGGAUAGGCGAAGCGUGCGAUUGGAUUGCACGUCUAAGCAGUAAGGCUGAGUAUUAGGCAAAUCCGGUACUCGUUAAGGCUGAGCUGUGAUGGGGAGAAGACAUUGUGUCUUCGAGUCGUUGAUUUCACACUGCCGAGAAAAGCCUCUAGAUAGAAAAUAGGUGCCCGUACCGCAAACCGACACAGGUAGUCAAGAUGAGAAUUCUAAGGUGAGCGAGCGAACUCUCGUUAAGGAACUCGGCAAAAUGACCCCGUAACUUCGGGAGAAGGGGUGCUCUUUAGGGUUAACGCCCAGAAGAGCCGCAGUGAAUAGGCCCAAGCGACUGUUUAUCAAAAACACAGGUCUCUGCUAAACCGUAAGGUGAUGUAUAGGGGCUGACGCCUGCCCGGUGCUGGAAGGUUAAGAGGAGUGGUUAGCUUCUGCGAAGCUACGAAUCGAAGCCCCAGUAAACGGCGGCCGUAACUAUAACGGUCCUAAGGUAGCGAAAUUCCUUGUCGGGUAAGUUCCGACCCGCACGAAAGGCGUAACGAUUUGGGCACUGUCUCAACGAGAGACUCGGUGAAAUCAUAGUACCUGUGAAGAUGCAGGUUACCCGCGACAGGACGGAAAGACCCC